GCCUCAGUGGUGUAGUAGUAGAGCACUCGUCCCGGAUAGGACGAAACGUGGUUCGAUUCCCGCCUGAGGUC